rnacentral:rRNA from 1 species
AGAGUUUGAUCCUGGCUCAGGAUGAACGCUGGCGGCGCACAUAAGACAUGCAAGUCGAACGGAAGUCGUCAUAAUGGAAGUGGAAAGAAGAUUUAUCUAAUUGAAGCAGAAGAUAUGACAAAGGCUUUAGUGGCGGACUGGUGAGUAACACGUAAGCAACCUGCCUAUUAGAGGGGAAUAACAAUGAGAAAUCAUUGCUAAUACCGCAUAAGCUUGUAAUAUCGCAUGAUAUAGCAAGAAAAGGAGAAAUCCGCUAAUAGAUGGGCUUGCGUCUGAUUAGCUAGUUGGUGUGGUAAAGGCAUACCAAGGCAACGAUCAGUAGCCGGGCUGAGAGGCUCUGCGGCCACAUUGGGACUGAGAUACGGCCCAGACUCCUACGGGAGGCAGCAGUCGGGAAUAUUGCGCAAUGGAGGAAACUCUGACGCAGUGACGCCGCGUAUAGGAAGAAGGUUUUAGGAUUGUAAACUAUUUUAGACAGGGAAGAAGAAAUGACAGUACCUGUAGAAUAAGCUCCGGCUAACUACGUGCCAGCAGCCGCGGUAAUACGUAGGGAGCAAGCGUUAUCCGGAAUUAUUGGGUGUAAAGGGUGCGUAGACGGGAAUACAAGUUGGUUGUGAAAUCCCUCGGCUCAACUGAGGAACUGCAACCAAAACUAUAUUUCUUGAGUGCAGGAGAGGAAAGCGGAAUUCCUAGUGUAGCGGUGAAAUGCGUAGAUAUUAGGAGGAACACCAGUGGCGAAGGCGGCUUUCUGGACUGUAACUGACGUUGAGGCACGAAAGUGUGGGGAGCAAACAGGAUUA